rnacentral:lncRNA from 1 species
AGAAUUUACUUAAUUUUGAAAUAUAAUAGAGGGUAUUUAUUAAAUAGAAUUAGUAAUUUACCAUUGAAUAAUUAAGAGGGGUAAAGUUGGAAUAUAAAUGUUAUUAACUUUAAUAUAGAUGGACACGGAGGGUUAUUUUUGAAAGUUUCUUAAAUUUGAGAGGGUAUAUAUAUGAUAUUUCAAUUUUUAAAGGAAUAUUUAUGAAAUUUGAUAUUUUUAGAAGGGUAUAGAAGAAAAUUU